rnacentral:rRNA from 1 species
UACGGAGGGGGCUAGCGUUGUUCGGAAUUACUGGGCGUAAAGCGCGCGUAGGCGGACCUGCAAGUCGGGGGUGAAAGCCCGAGGCUCAACCUCGGAACUGCCUUCGAUACUGCGGGUCUCGAGUCCGGGAGAGGUGAGUGGAAUUCCUAGUGUAGAGGUGAAAUUCGUAGAUAUUAGGAAGAACACCAGUGGCGAAGGCGGCUCACUGGACCGGAACUGAUGCUGAGGCGCGAAAGCGUGGGGAGCAAACGGG